rnacentral:misc_RNA from 1 species
GGGCACAGGUUUUAGGUUUUUUUUCCCCUUUUAUUAUUACUCUGAUUAAUACAUGCAUAGUAUAGGAUAACUGCAGAACUAGAUCCUUAACAUUGGAGGAAAAGAAAAACUCAAAAGAUAAAACUGAGAUGCAAAACAUUUAAUAUUUUAGUUUCAUAUGAAUUUAAAAUUUUUUGGUUGCGAUGUCGAUACUUGCAAAAUAUUUACGUAAAAUAAAUAGGUAAGAAAAGAAAAUUCCCUGCAUAAGCAACUUUUCUUUUUAGUACCUGUUUUUCUCUUUCUGUACUUCAGGUAAGUGUUUUCCUUUGUUAUUCAAGAUUAGAAGAUGAUAAAUGAUGCUGCAAUGAUAAUUGUCAUAUAUUAUAAAUGUCAUUAUUCUCAUAAUAUAUGGAACUAUAUUAUGUUUGCUUUGCAGAGGCUGCCCCCACUUUCAAC